AGAAGCACGGAGCGAUGUAGCUGUGUGGCCCCAGAGCCAGGGCCAGACACUUGGGUAGAGACGGGGUUUCGCCAUGUUGGCCAGGCUGGUCUCGCACUCCUGACCUCAAGUGAUCCGCCUGCCUUGGCCUCCCAAAGUGCUGGGAUUACAGACGUGAAGCCACUGCGCCCGGCUGGUUGCUGGCAGAGGUGGUUGGGGCUAUGUGCCUGGAGUGAAGAUUCUGCCCAUUGGUCAAGAGACCUCCCUCUCAGAUGCUGGCUCUGCCCCUGCCUUUGGGGGUCGACCCUUGUACUCGCAGGACCUUAGGUGACUCGGACUUUGUCAAAGGAAAAAUUUCUGCAUGUGCACACACAGAUCUUGGAAGUUUAUUCAUCUCAGCAGAGGCAGACAGGAGCAUCAACAGCCUUGGGGACAGCAGCAGUGGUGGUGGAGUCUGACUCUGUCGCCCAGGCUGAAGUGCAGUGGCACAAUCUCGGCUCACUGCAACCUC
rnacentral:lncRNA from 1 species